AUUUGUCAUUCAAUCCAAAUAUAUAGUAAUUCUUUAUAUACACAUAAGCAUCAUAUAGUUUUAAAUUAAAUAUGCAACUUAAUAGUUGAUAUGGAACGGACAAAGUCAUUAUCCCAACGGUGCAUGCCAACACGCCCAUCACCUGACAUAUGCAUCACCUCAAAGUAGUGAAACAAUGUGAUGUCCGGGGUUUCAUACCCUCAGGACUUGAUUUACAAUCAUUACUUACCUCAAUUUGGUGAAAUUCCCUACUCCGCGGCGUCCUUGCUUCUGGCAUCGACCUAUAAACAUCUCGAAUAUGACCAAAAACAAUACAGCGUAGGCAAUAUAGUCCAAGGAACUAAUUCCAUUCGAAAAACUAACAAUUUAGACCAAAAUCAUGUAUUUCACCCAAACCUGAUUUCCCGACCCACAUCUCGAAAUUCGAUAAAUUUCAUAAAACUAGAAACUCCUUCAACUCGCGAGUCUAUUCAUACAAAAUUCAUCAAAAUCUGACAUCAAAUGGUCCCUUAAAUCCCUAAAUCAAACUCUCAAAUUUUAAGUACUAAUCCCCUCAAUUUCAUCCCUAUUUUCUGCUAAUUUAUGCUUAAGCAACUCAAAAUUACCAUAAUCAAAAGUAUUAAGCUCAAGUAACUUACCUCAAUGUAAACCCCCUUGAUUCCCUAUAAAAGCUCUAACUCAGAAUAAAAAUGGUGGAAAUAACUCAUGUCACACUCCUUUUUCAACCGAACUCAAGUAACCCUCUUAAUAAAUAAAAAGAUUUAUGUAAAAAACUUGAAAAGGCUUUUCCCAUUAGAACGUGACAAAAAUUGUAUUCAAAAGGAAAAUAACUCAGAGUUGCCACCUGACUUUGAUUUUGGUGUGCCAGGUCACCAUUUUUUAAAAAUGAUUUUUCUGUUUAAAACAUUUCUGACUCUAAAACCAAGUUCGGGGGUACAGGGGUUCAUUUGACUCGGGGAAAAGGUGUUAGGCACUCCCCAAGUCCCAUAAAAGUCAUGGUUGCGUACUAGAUCCAAUUGGCCUUUACAAAACAUUCUAAUUGAGGUAAAACAUACGGAAAUAAAAUAAACACACAAGAGGCUUGAGAUCGUCCCCACGUAAUGAACGAAAAAUAAAACAAAGUAAAAUAUUAUGAGUUCUACUAUCGAUUGCCGAAUACAAAUAUUUCGGGGCAAACCCCAGAAUAAAAUAUAUAUAAUUCCUUUGGGGCAAUCUCCGGAUGAAUUUAACUAAGGGAGUAACCUCUCGCCUCAAAAUCUAACAAACAAUUCUAAGACUUGCCUACUCGAGCGUGACCGGCCUAAUCAUGCUACUAAAAGAUAAUGCAAUAAAAGUAAAAUAAGUAAAAUUAAAGAUAUAAAAUUUAACUUCACGCUCACAUCCUUUUAACCUGCCAUCUCCAUUCCCACUCAACAAAUAAACAAGUUAUUGCUAGCCGAACGAGUAGGCAGCAUAAGCAUUCAAACAAUGAAAGCACUUAAAGCAAACGAGAAUUGCAACAGAGAAUUCUAAUAAAACAAUGCUAUUUAACUCGUCAAGACUUUCUAAUCCCAUAACUGCGAAUUGUUUAUUUAUAACAGAGCUUUUAAUCAUGACUUGAACCACAGAGACACUCCAAGCAUCCAAACACAAUAUUAAAGUUUUCUUAAAAAACUACUGUGAAGCUAAAACUAAGGACGUACUGCCAGUUUCACCUUUGGACCAUUUUGCCUACUUAGUUGGAAUUAAGAUGGUUAAGAUCAGACAACAACAACAACAACUACAUAGUCCCACAAAGUAGGGUCUGGGGAGGGUAGUAUGUAGACGGGCCUUACCCCUACCCGAAAGGGCAGAGAGGCUGUUUGCAAUCGACCCUCGGCNN
rnacentral:lncRNA from 1 species